GAGUUUGAUCCUGGCUCAGGACGAACGCUGGCGGCGUGCUUAACACAUGCAAGUCGAGCGGUAAGGCCCUUUCGGGGGUACACGAGCGGCGAACGGGUGAGUAACACGUGGGUAACCUGCCCUCAGCUCUGGGAUAAGCCCGGGAAACUGGGUCUAAUACCGGAUAUGACUCCGCAUCGCAUGGUGUGGGGUGGAAAGCCUUGUGCGGCUGAGGAUGGGCCCGCGGCCUAUCAGCUUGUUGGUGGGGUAGUGGCCUACCAAGGCGACGACGGGCAUCCGGCCUGAUAGGGCGACCGGCCUCAUUGUUUAUUGAUACAU
rnacentral:rRNA from 1 species